rnacentral:lncRNA from 1 species
CCUUCCCCCAGAAAGCAUGAACCUGUCUAAGUUUUGAAAAACAACGAACAAGAAAUUAUAGUGAAGUGAUACUUUUUCUCCCUUUGAAUGAUUAUAAUCAGUAUAAAAGUAUUCUUAUUUCAAAGCCCAGCCGGCGUAAUAGUUUUGGGAAUAAUUUCUUAUAAUAUCAAAUGAAAAAAAAAAAAAGUUUAGGUAUUUCUUGAUAUGUUGAUAUUGGUCGAUUAUUUGAAAACUGAUUAGAAAUCUUGGUAUUUUGCUUGGAGUGGGUUAACCUGUCAAAAAAGAAAAUAAAAACCUUUUAAAAUGAUUUAUUUUAUAAAAUUAGUUUAGUUUAAAAAUUUAAGUUUAAUUAAAUAUGUAAAAUAUCUUAAUAGUUUAUAUAAAUUUACUGUGGUGGCAGCCUUUACGACCUGGGCCCUAACGCAGUGUAUAAAAUGAAAAUAAGGUAAUUACGUUUUGCACCCCAUGAUUUGUUUUUAAUUCCAUGAGAUGUUGAAAAUGUCUAUAUCUAAAAUAUAGGCGUUGGAAAAUUUCAGAUUGUGUAC